UAGAAGUUUAUGAAGAUGAAAUAAAAGAGGUAUUGAAGAAAAAAUCUUAAUUCUAAAGCAGAAACAAAAUUAGAAUUAACCAUCUAAAUAUAUGUAUGAACUUACCAGCUUGUUCCUUUGUAGAAU